UCAACCACUGCACCAUCUUAUGAACUGGUGCUAGCCUUCAGCACACAUUUAACAUAUACGCGACUUAAUCGCUGUUUCCUUUUUAAAUCCUUUACCGCCAAACAGAUUGACAGCAACAUCAUACAAUUCUUUCCUUUUUGAUCGAACAGUUUCAAUCAUUUCCAUGCUUACGAAUCAAUCACGGUUGAGUUUCCAUCUUCGGCACGUGAUCGCGAACCAAUCCAAAAAACCCGCAACCCAGUCGAACUCCUAUAAAUACCGAGUCCCACAUCCUUCUCGAAACACCUCACCAACUCGCCGCAGUUGUACGGACUUCCACGGACCACCGGUGAGUUCCGCAAGAAGAUGACCGGAGUUUUCGACAGGAACCACUUCACUCGACUUCCUUUCACGUAACCCGCCAGCGCCGCCGAAGGAGUCCGAAGCCAACGAGGAUCUUACAUCAUCGAGUUUCGUGGGUGUGUUGUUGUUUCUUUUAUGGUUCAUGUUCCUGUUCGACACAAUCCAACCCUUUCGCUAUUUUUCGUUACACUUCAAGCAUUUGCCGGAAAUCCGCAAGCCACCGGGGACUUGCUGGAAGACCCGUGCUCACGCUGGAGCCGCUCGGAGUACACAACGGGAACUCAAGAUCGUGUGAUCGGGUAAAUCUCUUGCGCUUGUCACAACUCUCUUGGAUUCAACUCCACUCUCUAUUAUUUACCAAGAAACGCAACGCAAUCAAUGUGAGUAUACAUGACCCAUUUUCGUUUUACACUUUUGGGUGCAAUAUGUAUUACAUAUCAAACAUCACAACACAUUAAACAUUUUAUGCACACUCAUUCCAUAUUCUAUGUGACACACUCUAUUCAUGUUAGACAUGUUAUGCUACUGUAAACACCUAAUGACUAUGUGUUCAUUAACUUCGUACAAGCCUCCCCUAACAAUGGUAGCGCUAUAGGUUGAGAAACGCCCCUCCUGUUCU